rnacentral:rRNA from 1 species
CCUACGGGAGGCAGCAGUGGGGAAUAUUGGACAAUGGGCGCAAGCCUGGUCCAGCAAUGCCGCGUGAGUGAUGAAGGCCUUAGGGUCGUAAAGCUCUUUUACCAGGGAUGAUAAUGACAGUACCUGGAGAAUAAGCUCCGGCUAACUCCGUGCCAGCAGCCGCGGUAAUACGGAGGGAGCUAGCGUUGUUCGGAAUUACUGGGCGUAAAGCGUACGUAGGCGGUUAUUCAAGUCAGAGGUGAAAGCCCGGGGCUCAACCCCGGAACGGCCUUUGAAACUAGGUAGCUAGAAUCUUGGAGAGGUCAGUGGAAUUCCGAGUGUAGAGGUGAAAUUCGUAGAUAUUCGGAAGAACACCAGUGGCGAAGGCGACUGACUGGACAAGUAUUGACGCUGAGGUACGAAAGCGUGGGGAGCAAACAGGAUUAGAUACCCUGGUAGUCCACGCCGUAAACGAUGAUAACUAGCUGUCCGGGCACUUGGUGCCUGGGUGGCGCAGCUACGACAUAAGUUAUCCGUCCGUCGGGUAGGUACGGUCGCGAGAAGUUAAAACGUUAAAAGGUAAAGUUAGUACGGCGUGUAAGACGUGCGAACGGACGACGACGAGGGAGGAGG